AGCUGCUUUAAAUAUGUGGCAAAUAUGUAGCAAGUUAUCUAUAAACAAUGUAUAUAUAAAAACAAUCAUGUGAUUACCUAAAAUUGAAUAUAACUCUAAAAUGUAACUCUAAAGGAACUCCAGGUCUUGACACGACGUGCUUCUACUAUAGUAGUCGCUUCUUGAUUGGGAAGAAGUGAAACUUCAAGCCAUUUUAAAACAUUCAAAUCUAUCUCGAAUUCUGGCUAGUCUUCCUGUCCAGAGUUCCAACUCAAAAAUGUCUUCCAGAAGGGCUGUUUGAUGUGUGAUUUUGGAAGUACCAGUUAUUGAAUAGUACGCACUCCAUCGAGACUUUUCCACUUUCGAUAUAACAGAUCAUUGGAAAGAUACAGAGAUUCCCAGUGAGACCAGUACGCCCCCCAGUAUUCUUCAUCUUCAGCCUUCAGUAAUCCAACUUUGGACCUAGGCCUCCCCCAAUUCAAUCCAGUAUUUUCUAUUUUGCGCCACUUGCUUCCAGUUGUGUCUUCCAAACUUCUUUAUGUCAUCAGCCCAUCUCAUGUGUGGCCUUCCUCUGCUUCUUCUUCCUAACCACGGUCUCCAUUGUUGUAUUUCGUGAUUCCAUCUUUUAUCCUUCAGUAGGGCAUUGUGUCCUGCGAAGCUCCAUUUCAAUACGCCCAGUAUAGUUUAACUAUAUUCGGUUAGUUCGUGCUAAAUCGGUCUUAUUCCAUUUUUAAGCCAUUUCCGUAGGACUUUCAAGUCAUUAUCUUUCCCUUGACUCUUUUUGUUAAGGCUUUCCAGGAUAGUAAAAUUGAUCUUCUUCCUCUUUAAACGUGUUCAUCUAGAUACUUACUUCUUCGGUUACAUUAUUUGCUCAACAGUUGCUCCUUCAAAUGAGCAACUUCAGAUUCCAGAGUAUUUUUUUAAAGUUAUUUCUACAUUUAAAAAACUAUUGAGUAUUUUUGUCCAUUAUAAUGUACAUCCCUAACAACACACAACAUUCCAGGAAUGUACUACCAAAGUUCUAUCAAUAUUUGAAUGUCCUGGACAUUUAGGGAACAUUCGGUGAACAUCUGUUUAAAUUAUUCCUGGAAUGUUACCAUAAGACAUUCUGUGAACAUACUACCAAUGUUCCUAUAUUUUAAGUUGCGAAAUAAUACAUACGUGUAAGAGAUACAACAUUACUUAUAACAUACCAGACAAACUAAGUGACAUUUUAGGCCUACAGUGCAAUAAUAUGUCAAAUUUAAAGAGUUUCCCAAGAUUAUAAACAUACAAAUGUAAUAAAAAUUAUUGUUCGCGAAUAUUCAAUUUGGAAUGCGAUUUUGUUCAUAAAAAAAAUACUUAUAACUUAUGCAAAACCCAAGAGAGGCAUUUAUAUUUAUUUCUUUUGCGUUCAUUUUCAAAUUCGCCGUGCAUAUAUUUUUGUGCAUGGCGCUUGAGAGGGCAUCACGUGACUAAAAACGACCAACCAACGACCUCGCUUCGGCCAUCUUGGCAUCUUCAUCUUGGCGACCUUGCCUUGCCGUGGAUUGUUUUUAGUUGUUUGUAUUAUUUGUGCUUUUUAAGAAUAUUUUUUUAAUUCGGAUACUUUUAUAAUAGCUUUAAUAGUAUUAUUAACAUAGUGCAUAAAAUGGUGUCCUGUUUUUAACGCAGUUGGAGUAGCAGAAACAAAUGUAGAUAAAAAAAUCUGCAGGAAUAACGUUUCAAUUAUGACAGAAGCUCAAAACAAAUGACUGUGAAUGAAAAGCCCUAUUAAAAGCUUUCCAGAAGAUCCUGCGAAGAAGACAUGAAGUAUAGAUCAGAUUUGUUAAUAGAGGAGUAUGUUCAAAACACUUUUUAGAAAAGGAUAUUGACAGAACUUCACUUUCAUCUGUUCGUUUGAGAGACUGUGCUGUUCCAAUAGCUUAUGUCACACAGAAUCAGCUGAGAGAAGUGGUCUACAAAAAACCAGAAAGGAAACGGAAUAUGUGGCUACGAAAAGCAAAAGAAAGGUUUACAAAGCAAAUGUGACACAUUUUUUUAUAAUAUUUAGGAAUGUCAGCAAAUUACAUUAAAAAAUGUAUGUAAAGAUUUUUUGCAAUAAAAAUGUUUAUAUUUAUCAAGGAUGUAUUAUUUGGUAUGGCCAUAUAUCGUCAGUGAUGUGACAGUACCUCCUAUCUGUUUUUUUCAAGAGAUUUGUAAGAUAGACUAAAAACUUGUUUCAGCCACCUC
rnacentral:lncRNA from 1 species